UCUCACACCUCCACUUGUGGUUGGUCAGCCAAGCGAAACAUGACUCUCCUUUUUCUUUCUUCAGGGUGCCACAUCCUCCCAUCACCGCUAGGAGGCGACAAAGCAGCGCGGCUGAAUCAUAGUCUACUGAUGUCUGCCUUUCGAAUCAAGUUACCGUGCGGGAAUCAUGAAAUGCUAAAGUUCAAUUCAUUUUUAAGCAGUAGACGAAUCCUCCCUGUGAUGUGUCGAAGAGACAGACAUUGUCACCAACAGAUUUCUAAGUGGGCUCUGCACAUGUUGAAAAAAGAAUGCCAGGGGAUUCACACAGAGAGGAUAAAAAGCAGAGGAGGUCACACUCCUUUCAUUUCCUCACAGAAGGCAA